ensembl:lncRNA
UCUCUUCUGUCUCCCUCAUUUGGUCUCUCUCUCGUCACCUUCUCUCCCUCACUCACCCUCUCUGGGGGACACGUGACGGUGACGGGGGCGAAUGUUUCAUUCCUUCUCGUCUUUCUCUCCAGAACCUUCUAACCCGAUUCCACCGACUGCGGCUCAUUCAUCUGCCGCUUUGUUCGGUCUCCGUCUGCCAUUCGAUGAGCGUGAAGCACAUUUGCAAACGAGUGGAUUGCGAGUCACGCUUGAUUGAUGAAGCUCUUAAUUUAUGGAAAACACAGCAAUUAUUUUUUGCAGUGCUGUUGUACUCGUCUAAAACUAUUUAAGAACUUAUAUGUGGCCACCAGCAGUUUGUGAAUGUUGCGAUCGGUCGGAUCCGUGUCCGAUCUGGACUCCUCACCCUUUGUUGGACCAUCACUUGGUUUUUGUUGUUUCUGUGGACGAUACUUGAUGUGAUCGUCUCUAUGAUCAGUAGUCUGACCGAGCAAUUGAUACAGGACUCUAUGGUCAUAGUCAAGAAAAAAAGAACUAAAAAUGUGCUAGAUCAAUUAUGUGUUUUAUUUAUUGUAUUGGUAAUAUUGACCAAUCACCUUUGAGUCAGAAGGCAUUGACUGAAAUGGAACCAUUGGAACCCGCCUGCUUGUCACCUGAUGAUCCAGCUGUUACCUGUUUAGAAAGUUACCUUGUUAGCUUAACCCUUCGACGGGCCGCCUCUAAGCCCCGCCCCCAGGAUGCCGAUUGGCCCGUGCCUCGGCUUACAGGACAAGGAGUCACUUCUUGAACUUUGACAAGAUAGACUCCACGUGCUCUUGUGACAGGUGACAUUUGCUUCAGGUUCCACUUCCUCCACGUCUCCGUGAGCCGUUAAACUCCAUCUCCUGCCGCAGGUGGAACCUCUCACCUCCGCCUUCCCCGCCGAUUCACACUGUCCCAUCUCCUCCUCUCAGCAUAAUUGGUGUCGCAAAGUACCAUCCGGCUGGGUUCUCCGCUUCCCUUCUGUGUACUGCGUCUCGCUACGGAGCAGAGGUGCAGGAAGCCGAGCUCGCUCCAGUUCUGCCCUCGAUCAAAGUCAGAAUGUGAGGGGAAAAAGUCUGGAAUGAAGCUCUGACUUGCUGCUGAGUGACACCUUCUCAAUGGGCUGACGCAUGCUGCUCCAACCAGAGAUUAAAAUGGUGGUUUAAUUCCUCUCGUUGUCUGGCUCAGCGUGACUGAACUGUUUCAGUAGUGAUCAAACCCCAGCCACGCAGAACGCUGUGAGUUAGAUUCCCCUGCAAAGCUGGAUUUCCUGCAAGCUUGACGAAGAGUCAUUCCAGAGUUAAGUUGAAUCCCAAGAACAGCGUGUCAGACCCUCAGGCGUGAGAACCCGGUCUAAAUCAGCUGCAGUAAAACGACCUCCAACAACGAGAGAGAGGAGACAGAUGCCAACAGCUGGGAGCCACUGAGGGGACGACUUUGAGGCCCCCGAGAGGUGAAACGCCUCCUCAGCGUCGAGGCCCAGGAACGAGUCCUGAUCACCAGAGGAGGUAAACGGCGAGGAGAGCGUCUCCAUCGCGAGUCCAUCAGACUCAGCAGUCUCCUGAGAGCGAGGACCCGUCCACCUCGGACCCCCUGGGGAUUCUUUUGAGAUCUUUAAACCUCUUGGAUCCUGAUUAUGUGAAUUACGAAAAAAUGGAUAUCAGAGCAUCCUGAGUACAACCAACAUCAGCAGCGGCAGAUUAGCAUUUCUCCUUUGAUUAAACCCUUGUGAACUAUUUUGGGCUUCAAGCUUCCCGGUGGACCGGCCACUUGUCUGAAAGGGUACUUGAUGAAGCUGAUACACAAUGUGGAGGUGGAGCAGGACGGGGGGGGGAAGCUCUCCGCUCAUAACGCGUCCAGCCAACUCAGCAGGCUCCGACAACCAAAUUGGCACUUUGCUUUCACUCAGAAACGUCCGGGUCGAGAGGUCGAUUGUCUGGCAGACACCCAUGAUGGAAUCCAGAUAACCGAGCCACGCACUGCAGGUACGAGGGUUAACAGCCAGACGCUCCAUCUCAUGCCUGCAAUCCCACGCGAGGGCUCCAAUGGCGCCCUUAAGGCGCCUUUUAAACACACAUUUCACCAGAUCUGCUUUCCCCCCCAAUGGGAUCCGACCUCUCUCAUUUCGUCCAUCAGCAAAAUUGGCAAUUUGCUUCUCGUCUGGACCACGUGAGAGCGGAUGUGGCUUCGUUUCACGCACGUCCAGCCAUCGCGGCGAGGAGGCAAAGGCCGGUUUGAGAUCGGACGCGGAAGCUGGUCAGAGCAGUUCCAGUCUGACCUUUUACCACUGGGAUGGUUUUGCAAUGAGGUCCAUUCCCCAAGGUGUCCAGCACCUUGUGUUCUCGUUAGUUGAUUGAUUAAAAAGUCUUCCUGCAUUCCCACCUGGAUGGGACGAACUAUUUGAGUCUGAGACAUUUAUGUGUUUGGCUCUAAAUGUCAGGCUGAACAAGCAGCAUCUCUUCGUUUUGUGUAAACCUCGGUCGGCCCGCAGCGGCAAAACAGUUUUUUCACCAUCGAAACGAAAUAGUGAAAACCCUUCUCCUCUUCUUCUCGGUGCUAUUUGGAGCAUCAGCAGCAUCGUGUGUUCUUUUAGUGCCUUCACAUCGGCGUGUGCUGUCGUUGGCGGAGAAACUCAACCUGUGUAUCGGGAUUCAUACUUCAUGGAUGAAUCGUUGUUGUGUGUCUGGUUUUUAUACGGUGGGGAAGGUUAUUUUAACUUUUGGAAAAGUUGUUGAGCAGAAAAAAGGGGCAAGACACGCAUUUGAUAUCUUUGGAAUACAUUUACAAAGAGGAUAACAACGUGCAUUGAGGUUAUGAAGUCGGAUGGUGAAGAACGGCGUUCGUUUUGACUGGAAGGAGCUGCUGACUGACUGAGUGUCAGUGAGCAAACGCAGACAAUAGAAAUACAAUAAUCCUGCAGCAUGAAUUUAUAAUGAGCCGAAUCACAGCAGAACGUAUAGUAAAAGGUGGACAGGUCAAUUCUGCCGCAACCUACAUACAUUUAAUCCGUCCUGUGUGCUCAAAAGCUCCAGGAGAGGAAACUGGAGUUGAGUGACUCACUCGAGGAGACAGUGGAGAAUCGAACCAACGACCUUCACUUGAAGAUAACGUCUCCUCUUCAUUCCAGCUUCAAUGAUGUUAUUCAGAACCUGAUUUCCAUCUGCCAUACUUUUCAGACCCUGUGCCUGAGAAGAACCACUUUUCGGGAGUUGUGCUCACACGAGUUUUUGUUGCCUGGAGAUCCGCAGAAAGUCGCCUUUCGCUGCAGUUUUGUGUCGCAACCGUGUUGGAAAUCAGCUGGACUCCCACAUGGACGUCAGGAUCAGGGUCCACGAGGGAUGGCCGUGAGGAGAGGCUGCUGAGAUGGAUGGAGGUGGAGGCGAUGGAGAGCGGGGGAAAAGUCUGAGGACAUCUGGUGGAUGAAAGGAAAUUAGCAACGUGCAGACAGCUCGAAUGUGACAGUUUGACUCACACAGGGGAAGAGCAGAGAAGAAGGUAGAAGGAAUUACAGAAUUAAAAUGUUUGAACCAACAGUUGUAAGGUGACAAAAUACAAACAUAAUGAUUCUGUGUGUUCUGAGCCAGGUGAUGAAAACCUUCUGAUGUUUGGAUUUGAGCUACUAACAUGUGAUGUAGCCGUUCGAGCCGGUGACAUUCAGCAGGCUGUAUUUUAUCGAGUAACUAAGUAUUGUAAAAUAGAUGUAUUGUAAAAUAGAUGAAUAGGUUCGUGUCAAUGAACGGCCCUGAUUUACAAUGCUUAUACAAAGAGACGCACUAAAACGGGAAGGCCUUCAAACGAGGCUCAGCAGGAGAAGUUCGGAGGAGAAAGCACGCUGGGGUUGUUGUGGUAACAACUGCCCCCCCCCCCUUCUGUGUGGUGGGAGGCGGCUGGUUGGAGCAGCAGUGGGUGCUGUUGCUCCCGGGUUGCAUCAGAUGUUUUAUGAGGGAAUGGGGACGCGACGGAGGCGAAGGAAGGAGGCUGUGAAGAUGGAGAUGGAAGAAAAGGAUGUUCUCACAGGACCUUUUCACAGCGUUCAGUGCGCUGUGGGUCAUUCUGCCCCAAAAGACCGAAUCCCUCCGCUGUUACCGCGACCAACGGUCCAACGUCCCAGUAACACAGAACCCAUCUACGCCCGUGAUGUUCCCCCAUUGUCCUUCAGGGAGACUCAGCAAAGCCUGCACUUGGUUGUUGAGUCCACUGGAGGGUGCAAGGAAGUGGAAAAUACUUCUCUCCCCAGACUAGGAAUGAAGAGCACCGAGCAGCUGUGGGAUUCCUCCACCUCCACCUCCACCUCCACCCACUCACACUCCUCGGGGCCUUCUCCUGUCCAUUACCCCUCCAGCGGAAUGAUAAAACAUGAUUCAACCCUUUUAAAAAGCCUUUAGUAGCUGACGCCCUGUGAAACUACGGGAGGAGAUGUUUGAAACGAGACAUUUGAUUUCCAUCAUUCAUAUUUAGUUCUUUUUCAAGUGGAAACGUGGCGCUUUGGCUCAGAAAGAAGUCGUCGGUGAGGAGAGCGGAAUGUGUCAGCAGGAGAAGAAGCGAACACAUCGGAACGAAACUACUCUGCAGGAUUAAACUGUGACCAAUUUAAAAGCCGGACUGUGAAGCUUCUGAUUCACUGCCGUUGGUUCGUAGACGCGAGAUAGAAGCACCGUCAGACGACUGGUCAUUGGGCUUCUCGGCUAAUCACUCUUAACCAGCUAUUAACCAAUUAUUAAUUAUUUGAACAAGGAUAUAAGGAAUGUAUGUAUUACACAUUUGAAAAAAACUUUUUUUUUUUUAAAUUAAAAAAAUGAGAUGAAAAAUAACAUAUAAUAACAACAUAGUCGACAAAUGUGUGUCAGACAGUUAUUUUUAAAUGUCUUCCGGAUGCUACGAGUUCACGUUCAGCGGGUCGUUGCAGUUUGAUUGACGCGAUGAUGUCACAGGAAGAGGUUGGGCUCCAUCCGUCAUCACUACUCCCCAUUGGCUGAGCUGUUUUUGGAUUCCAGAUAUUUCUGACGGGAUGCUGUUUGUAGUGUGGAGAUCUGAAGAUGUGGCCUAGAUUCAAAACACACACACACACACACACGCACACACACACACACUCACAACUUAACGUCCACAAAUCUGGACUGCACUGUGCAUUCACACACAUGAGUACCCAAAAAACACCGAUGCGCACUCACACACAUACACGUAUCCAGCACAGACAACUGUACCCUCAGAGGCUCAGAGAGCACAGCCACAAAGAGAACACACACACACACACACACACACACACACACACACACACACACACACAGUGGGUGGGAGGAGAGCUUUGAGUGCAUACACUCUUUUGUAUAUAUGUUGGUGUGUGUGUGUGUGUGUGUGUGUGUGUGUGCACGUCACCAAACACUAAGCCUCGUGCUCUGAGAUUUGCACUCAUUUCCAUUUCUACCAAAACUGAAGAGGAAGAGCAGACAAGGAGCAAAGGAAGGAAGGAAGGAAGGAAGAGGAAGAGGAAGAUGGACGACUCAGAAUCACAAAUAAAUCCCCAACAGAAGAGACGCAGGAAAGACGGCAAACAGGAAGUGAGAAUAGAAGAUGUGCUCUUUAAAAAUUUGCUUUAAAAAAUAAAUCCUAUUUAUUUGCGUUUAUGCUCAAAAAAUUGUUUGUUCGGCACGUGGACGCACACACCGACCUGUGGACGCUGUCCACUGACCACGUCCACAGGUGGACAGACAGAAGUAACCGCGUCAGGCCUGGUGUGCCUUUGCACAGAAGAUUAAGCUAAUGAGCGCAGCGCUAAUCCCGCCACAGCACUGGCUCUCUAAUGCCGGCACAGGCCUCACACAGUGUGUGUGUGUCUGUGUGUGUGUGACAGGCAACCGAGCAUCUGACCUCUCUCUCUCUCUCUCUCUCAGAUGCAAAGCUGCUAAAGCUAUGCAUUUAUAUUUAUAGUACUUACAGUAGUAUUACUCUCCGUUCUGACUGGUUUCAUCCAGCCUCCGUGCACAUAACAUAUGUAGAUAUUCCACAAAUUGAUGUAGCGUGACAUCGGCGUAGUUACGGAGGAGGAGGUUUGUUCUCUCUGGUUCGUCAGUAGCUGCAAUGCGCCGUUAUUUUAACCCAAAUGAUCAUCUUUUCCUCCACUUGGAUUAAUAGUCUUGCUGCCCUCUUAAUUAGAGACAUGUCAAUCACAGUAAGCCCCGCCCUAAAGCAUCCCCUGCUUUCAUGGUCUGUUUGACUCUAAAUGGACCGUCAUGCUGUGUUGAAGAAGACUUGAAGCGCGUGAUGCAGGGUGCGCUCCGUGUUUUCGCUGUAGAGGAGAAACCCUUCGGCUGGUCAGACGCCCGGCGGCCUCGCAGGGGGCGGGACUCCCGUCCUGCAUCGGCGAAUGUCUGGUGAAGAGUUGACUUCUUUCACAUCAGCUUAGUUAGUUCUACUCGUAUCACUGUGCACUGAAGGGAAAGUUUCACACUUCUUUAAAUAACUUUUAAAUUCUCUCCCUCUCUCUCUCUCUCGCUCUCUCUCUCUCUCUCCCCCACAGGCGAUUUAACAUGUAUUGUGUUUUUGUGUAGGCAGAUGUUUGACUGGAUGUUUUUCCAGUGCCCUCUGCUCAUGUUUACGCGCGUGUUUGUGUGCAUGUGUGUUUGUGUGGGCGUUUUCUUUGCCUGCAAUUUCUUCGGAGGACACAACUGUACUUGUGUGUGUGUGUGUGUGUGUGUGUGUGUGUGUGUGUGUGUGUGUGUGAGUGUGUGAAAAAAACAACAGGUUGUCUAAUAAUUGUUCUCUUCGUGUUUCAAAAAUAGGAUUUAGAUUGUUUGUUUUUUCUUCUGUCGUUUAUUGCAUGCAUGCAUGAAAGUGUGUGCAUUUAAAUAUGUAUUUAUGUGUGCGUGUGAGUAUCCAUAUGCACUGUGUGUGUCUGUGUGUGUACAAUGACAGGAGAAGAAGAUGCCAGAAUCAUGAAUAUGGAUCAGUUGCUCUGCUGAGGACGGAUUAAAAUACCAAAAGGAAAGUCAAGUCAGGUUGAUAAUGAUGAAUAAAUAGAGGUUACAGGAUGAGUCACUGCAUUAUUUUACAUUUUACUUACUACCUGAAGCAAACAUGGAAGCCAAUGUGUGCUAUUGUUUUACAAGUCACUAUGGUUACAAGUCUUGCUAGUUUCUCUCUUCCAGUAGUUGUGUUGAAUAAUUUUUCCUUUACUAUCGUAUCAUUUCUGUCGGGUUGGUAUUUGAUGGACAGCUGUGCUGCUCCCUGUCAGCUGAUUAUUAGUAAAUAAUGUGCCUGCAUACCUGGAUAUAUCUGACUGCCCUCUUAUGGCCUGGCCUCUGUUCUCUGAGCUCUUAAAGAAUACGUGUAAUUCAAAAUUAAUUUGAUUUUCAUAUCAAAAGACUCUUUGUAAAGGUUUGUAACAGCCAAAUUCCUUAGAUUUUUCCUCACUCUCUUUAAAUGUGGAGGUUUAACAUAGGAUAACAUAGGAAUAACAGGAAUAACAGGAAUAACGUAGGAAUAACGUAGGAAUAACAUAGGAAUAAUGUAGGAAUAAUGUAGGAGCAAUGUAGGAAUAACAGGAAUAACAAGGAUAACAUAGGAAUAACAUAGGAAUAACAUAGGAAUAACAUAGGAAUAACGUAGUAAUAACAUAGGAAAAACGUAGGAAUAACAUAGGAAUAACGUAGGAAUAACAUAGGAAUAACAUAGGAAUAAUGUAGGAAUAAAAUGAAUAACAUAGGAAUAACAAGGAUAACAUAGGAAUAACAGGAAUAACGUAGUAAUUAGGAAUAACGUAGGAAUAACAUAGAAAUAUAUAUGUUUAUACAUGUAUAUAUAAUUAGAAGGAAGCAUCCUCUGUUUUCUUAACUUCUUGCCUCUUUACCACUUUGCUGUCUUCUUCCAUAUCUUCUCAGUUCCCUUUUCAUUACGUCCCCCCACCCCUUCCUACCCCCCGCUCCAACACACCUCCACCUCCUCAACACGCCGUUCCUCCCUUCUUCUGCCCAAUCCGGUCUGGUCUUUUGAUCUCGCACGCAUUGUUCACGGUAGCUUACCCUUCCACCCCUCCACCCCGCUACGCUGUUACCACGACACUCAGCGACUCGCUCAAUGUGAGGGGCGGGUGCGGAUUGUGAGAAUUUGGAGCGAGGGAGGUUGAAAAGAGCUGCUUUGGAGAUUAGUGUUGGGGGGGCGAGAAGGCAAAGGAGAAAAGUGAAACCGAAAGAGCCAAACAUGGUUACAUGGUGACAAGAAGGUCCAAUCAACGGAGAAUGACUCCGUGAACAUCCAUGCAUGUCCCUGUAGACAGUGUCCCUCCAAUGUAAGUCUCCCGACUCUUUCCCGCCUCCUCUUGCCCCCCUUCACCUUCCUGACCCACCUGCUGGGCUCCAAAGGCUUUCUCUCACUCUCCUGCUGGGCCCCACCCCGCCACACCAGUAACAUCUUCUAUCAUCAGACACAGGAGGUAAUUAGCUCUCUAGAUGACUGGCACAGUUACAUUGAGGUGGGAAAUUAAAUAUUUAUUCAUUUAACUGGUGAAUAAAUACAAAAAUCAGACAAUGAAUAAAUAAGAAGGGGUAUAAAACUAAUACUUUUUUCUUUAAAGCCGACGUAAAAGAUGAAAAGGAAGAAAUAAGCCAGAGGAACUUCUCAGAAAUAGAGGAGGAACGAUUGUGAGAGUGUGACAGACACAACAAUAAGAGAGGAUUAACGGAGGAAGGAGAGGCAGCGAGGGGAAAGAAAGUAGCACCGAGGCUGAGGAAGAGGAUGAAGAAGAGCGCGAGCGAGGAGAAAGAGAGACGCUCAAUUUCAUUCUACUACUUCCCACACAGAAAGAGAGAGAGAGAACCUCAAGAGUGGAAAGCAGAGGGAGACUGUGAAACCACCUCUCCUCUCAGAAACAAGACUCCCUCUCUCCCUCCCCCUCUCCCUCCCUCUCUCUCUCCUGUCUCUGCCAUGUGACCGGCCAACGCUCCGAUGCCGCUCUCUUCUUCUUCGCUCUCUCAUCACUAGCUCGGCUCACACUGAUAUCUGACUGAGGAAGAGGAAGAAGAGGAGGAGGAAGGAGAGAGAGAGAGAGAGAGAGAGAGAAGGCAAGAAGAAGAUAAAGGGGAGAGAAGAGAGAAAAGGAUGUUCUCCGUUUCACUCAAGUGCCGCUUAGGGGUCAUCAGGCGGCGAGUUAAGGGUAUGUGUGUGUGUGUGUGUGUGUGUCAGAAAGAAAGACACUUCUGCCCUCAUGCUGCUGCUGUGUGUGUCUUUAGUACCGGCCAUGUCUGCUUGCAUGUGUACAUUCUGUACGCACACACAGAAAUGAUGCCUACUUCCUGCUGAUGUUCCUGUUGUCAUUUACUCGCAUCCUCUCCUUGCCUCUUCUCCUCCUCUACAUCUUCCUCCUCCUCCUCCAUCCAGCCUGCGGUUUGCUUCUUUGCUCGUAUUGAUAGAUGUCCACAGGAGGCCUCGGAUGGAGCUCAUUGUUUAGUGAUGGGUGUUAUUUGGGGUUCGUUAAUGGUUUCAGGCCCUGCCGGAAUCGACCAGAAGCAACUUGUUGGUUGUUUCCCGUGGCGAGCUUCUCCAACAGGGAAACUUAAAAGUGACUAAAAGGAAGUUUUAGGGAAGUGAUGUGACGUCUGAGUCAUAAAGAGUUGUUUGUGUGGUGGAGAGAGAAGCGGUGGAUUAUUAUUCUGGAUCAUUGACUGAGUGAACAAAGCUCACUUUGUCUCGUUUCAUUCAAGUCUUCAGUUGAGUCAAACGAAGCAGACGAGGACGUUUAUUAUUUAUCGCGUUUUUUUGGUUCAGGGGGUAAAAACCAAACCAGCAAACAACCAGCAAAUAGAAACAAUGUUUGUGUUGCUUGCAAAGCUGCAGCCACAGACUUUCAUGAAUGUCGGUUUUAUGUCUGUAUUUUGAAGAAAGGGUUUAAUUAUCUGAAAUGCAAAACAAAAAAGCACAAAAACUGAAUUAUGUUAACAUGAACAAUGCAAUACACCUGUUUAAUAUGUCCUGUUUAAUUGUUGACAAAAAGGAUAUUUCCAAGCUGCUAUCAGUGAAGUUCACAACUGACUUUUAGCAUUUUGGGACCAUUUGUUUAAAGUCAAACAUAGUUGUCCCCUUUUAUAUAUUUGUCUUCGAUUCAUUCAUCAUAUCGGCAUAAUGUGCUAAUGUUUCACUCCUAAUGGUACAAAUGUUGUGAUGUUCCAGACCUGCAUUGUUCCUGCGAAUGUAUUAUUAUUAUAAUAACUCUUGCUCACUCGCUGUAUGUGGGUUAGUAAUGCUUCAUGUAUGACGUGGGGUUGGAACUGUGUGUGCGUGUGUGACAGAGAGAGAGAGAGAUGCAUGCUGGGUCGCCAGUGGAGCUUUGGGCCAGUUUGUUGUUGUGUUUUGAUUGAUCUUCAAAUCUCUGCAAGCUGUUGGGACCUCUGCAUCCUCUCCCUCUGCUUGCUGACUUUCAUUGUGAAUGAGCCCACUGCUCACAGCAUGUGGCCUUCACACGUGUGUGUGUCCUGCGUGUGAAGGAUGUGCACCACGUGUGUGUGUGUUUUGGCAUGUUUGAGUGAGGAGUGACAUUAAACCUCGUCUGAACAGGACUGUGUGUGUGUGUGUGUGUGUGUGUGUAGAUAGAUGGUGUUUGGUCUCAAUGUGUCGGUGGUUACGACCGGAAGCUGCAGCUGAACACGAAUCCUCACUUCUCAUCGAU